rnacentral:tRNA from 1 species
GCCGGUGUGGCGCAACUGGCAGCGCACCGCUCUUGUAAAGCGGUGGUUAGGGGUUCGAGUCCCCUCACCGGCUCCA